GGCUUGCAGAUGGUGGGCCACGGGGGUGCAGGGAGGCAGCAGCCGAGGAAAACCAGAAGUGGGUGGACAAAAACGGGCUGUUUUCUAUCUUUUGUGCUUGCAACAGUGAGUCGAGGUAGCUGGAGUGUUUCUUCUGCCCGGGUCUGCGGAAGGAGGCUGGCUAUCAGACAAAAUGACAUGCUUCCUGCUCCUGGUAUGUGCCAUGCCUUCCCCACUGCGAUGGACUCUCUCUCUCUGGACAAAUUCCAGUGAAGCAAUGAAAACCUUCGCCCCAUUGUCUUCGCAUAUCUGUGGGCGUGCUCCUGGCGGCAGAAAAAGCAGACGAGGACAAUCUUAGUGGUCCUUCUCCCCAUCCCUCCUCGCCCCCCCAGACACUCACUGAGCACCACCUGGUUACUGGGCUGGGAGCCGAGGCUAGAGACCCUCAAGCUGUGGGCCCCAGGUGAGGGAGCCUGCGGUGUGUUCCAGCGAGGAACCCUUUAGGAAAUGAACGGUGGAGUACCCUGUGCACAAGCCAGAGCAGCAAGUGUCCGGUGGAAACACAGGCAUAGGAGAAACCAGGACGGCACCCAGGAGGAGGCAACCACCGCUAGAACGGGAGGGCAA